UUCCUUCUACGUGGGGCAUUCUGGUGGGGCUGGCCGGGGUGGAGAAGGACCCCUGACCUUUAACCCCGGACACACAUUGAUUCCGUCGGCCUUCCCAGAAGGCGGAUCCUGACUUGCGUCCUAGGGCGGUGCCCGGGUUCGAGGGUAUUCCCGGCAUGGUGGGGCGGGUCUUGGUCGGGGUGAAUGCCCACCUAGAGGGUGUUUACGGGUUGUGCCCGGUGGUGAGGGUGCCCCGGCUGGGGGGGGGGGGGGUGUCCUGCUAGGAGUGGGUGCCGACUGUGUGCCGACUGAGAAGGCUGCCCCGAUGGGGGGGAGGGGAAUGUUCCGACGGGAGGAUUGCCCCAACUUUGGGAGGAUGUCUCAAUGAGGAGACUUGCCUCCGUCUGGGGUGCUUCGGUUAGGAGAGGUGCCCUGAUUAGGGGUAAUGUCACAGCUGGUGGGUGCUCUGGCCAGGGUCCGUUUCUUCUGUGGGAGAGUAUGCACUGAUUAGAGAAGGUGGCCCGCUAUGAAAGUGUGCUCUGGAUGGGGACAGUGUUCUGAUUGGAAGGCUGGGGGUAGAAUGGGGAUUGUCCCAAUGAGGAAGACUGCCCCCCGCAGUCUGGAACGGGGUUCUCCAGUUAGGUGUUCCCAGCCUGGGCAGCCUCCCUGAUCACCCCAAGCUCCUUGAAUCGGCACCUACCCAGCAGCCUGCCUCCCAGUUUUGCACGGGGAAGAUCUCAGCACACCCAGUCGCCUUCAUGGACAGCAUCACAUAAACUGGCUUCGCCACCCCCCCGCCCCCCAUGGUCAGACUGAAUUCUAUCAUCUUCUGGCAGUUGAAGAAAGAUGUAUAGACCGAAACUGGGGUUCUCUGACCGGUCUUUGCAACAAGAACUGAGGAGGCUCUGAGUUGAAGGCUAACCUGCUCCACCCCCUUGCACAUGCGGGCUCACUCUCAUGGGACGCCAGAAAAAUUACUCUACUAAGGUGGACACUGACAGUCACACAGGUGCAAAGGAGGAAAUGGACGACUGCCCCAGUCCCCGGGGAGAGGCUGAUCCCGAGGCGGAGGCUGCGAGGAACGGCCGGGCAGCAGCAGGUCCUGAGUGCGCCGGGCCAGGCCAGGAGCAAAGGCACGAGGCCCUGGGCGCCCGGUCCCAGGGCAGAGGUCAGCCCACCCGGAAAAGGCGGCACAGGGUCAGCUCCCGGGCGUCAGGCUGGGAUCUGCACCGCCACAGCUCUGCUCAUAGGAUGGCGGGGCCUCUGCGGGGAAAGAGCAAAGUCUGCAAGGGGCUCCUGGGGCCCUCUCCCCCAGCCAGACCCCAGGCCUCUCACUCACCAUAGGGAUAACCCCAUGAGCUGUAUUCUGGGGGCAGGAUCAAGGUACUGGUGGUGGGCACUGGCCCUCCUGAACCCUCUGCAAAGUAGGGAACAGUGGCACCGGUAGAGAUGCACAAG